UUAUCGCUCCUAACUUGUAUAAUAAUUAAAAAAAUCAAGAAAAAGUCAAACAAAGAGGCACAGUUGUUUGAGGAAAUGGAAACUACUCGUACAUUUCUAUGGAAAAGCGGUCGUCCAUUAUCUUCUUAAAGUCCGUUUAUUUUAUAUAAUGUCCACAGGAAAGUCGCAUAGGUAACCUUAAAUCAUACUAAAUAAGUUCAUGACCUGAAUGUCUGUGUGUUAGAUAUAUAUAGUUAUGAGAUUCGGAUUACCUACAUAAAAAUAAGUCAUCAUCAUCAUCUGUCUGCACCAUUCACCAUCAUCUGGGAUCGGCUCUCUUUGUCCAUUUUCUCCAUUCCACCUUCAUAUAAAUUAAUCAAAUAAGUAAAACAGCUCCUCGGUUGGGUACCCCUGCAAACAGAUGCACUCUACCAUAACUUGGGCUGUAGUCACAAGUUGUUAAGUAUAUUAUUGCAAAUAGAUACCAAUAUAAAAACCAACAUACUCACCCACCGUAUCAUUAUUGUACUGACACCUCAAAUCAAGACAUCAGCGCUUCAGCACAAUGUGUCUCAAAGUUGUGUUGCUUAGUGUGGCAAUGGCCGUCUGCCAUGCCGGUUACAUCGGAUUGGAUGCGACCUCGUCACAAACUGUAGUUCGCCACGACGAACUCGAGCAACACGGACAUAUUGGACAUGCCGGACAUGUCUCACAUGCUGGUCAUAUCGGAGAUGUCGGUGCUCCCAUCUAUGAGCCGAGCUAUGAAAAUGAAGCACACUAUGUGUACCAUGGCGCAGGAUACAACCCUGGAGAUUACAAUCACGGUCAGAACGAGGCUUAUGAGGAGUACUCCGCUGGUGUUCAACUUCAUGCAGCAUACCAGCCUCUGGCUACAUACGCCUCCGGAUACAAUAACUAUGCUCCACCGAAGUACCACUUCACGUACUCCGUGUCGGACCCGCACACGGGCGACCACAAGUCGCAGUUUGAGUCGCGUGACGGCGACGUCGUGAAGGGCAUGUACUCGCUGGUAGAGCCGGACGGCAACGUGCGCACCGUGCAUUACACCGCCGACGACGUCAAUGGGUAAUUUUAACCACUUUUUUUCUGAAUUACCAAAUUUACAUUAAGUAUCUUUGUAUUUAUACUGGGAUGUCAUAAACUGGAGAGACUAAAGGGCUUAAGUCCUAUGUUGCUGUUCUACAAUUUAAACGGCCUACCACCUGCCUACUCAAAAUUAAACACUACAACAAUGUAUACGUUUAAAGUAGGUCGAAAUCGUGAUUUUAUUUAAGUGCAUAUUAGUGUUCACCUGACGUUACAGCUUAGUUUCUUUUAUGGCCUGCCUAACCUUAUCAUAACGACUACGAUUGGCGCUCCUAACACCCUUAGGUAAUUGUAAUUAGCAGUCUUAUCUAGAUCUAGGCUUCAUUGCGCAUUACACAUAAAUCAUGUCACGGAAAACCUAAGCUAUUUAAUGGACCUGAAUCCGGCCCUUGAGCCUACUAAAGCAAGCUUUAUGUAAUUCUCCGGAUUACCCAAUGAUAUUCAUCGAGAAAAGUUCUUGAACCACUUUCGUUUUCCUAGUUGGUAUUAUAAUAUUUUGUUCGAAGCUUGUAAAAUACAAAUGUUUAUGAGCUCUUAAAUAUGACAGGUCCAUAAUUAUAUUAGUUUAGUGGUAAUAAGGCCUUUGUCAAGAAAUCCAGCCGAAGUAUUUACACAGGCUGUUUUUUAGAGGAAUGCCGUUUUGUGUUUUACAAGUUUUAAUUUAACCGUCUACAGCGGUAGUCCCUGUAUUUAAAAUGACUGACGUAAAGAUAAUCGUUUUGGAGGAGAUUUUGGAAACGAUCAAAAGUUUAAAAGGUACCUACAAAAGCUAAAAACAACUUUAAUUAUUCGGCCGCGAUAUGUGUUCUUGAGAAACAUAAAUACUCAUAGUUACAUAUUUUCUAAUGCAAUUACUGAACAACUGCAGUUAUUUAGGGGUAAUAAAUCAGUUACUAGACAAUCGAUAUCGAGACAAAGUUUUGAACCCACGACCUUUACAAAUGCACACUUACACAGGCCACUUACAAUCCAUUGGCCGCACAAAUAAAAGAACAGCGAGCGUAACCCAGUUAUUGACAUGAAUCGAGUCAUUGAUGCCGAAUGGCCUUGAUACUGGCAUCAGUUUGGGCCGCCGAAGAACGCCUGACCGAUUCGAUUCACUUUAUUUGUUUACUUACAUAAUACAAUAAUACCCAAAUAAAGCAAUACUCCGAUUACUUUUCACCUUGUAAAUACGUUGACAAUGUCAUUAUUGAAACAUUAAGUCAAUUGACAUGACUUGUUAUUUACAAUUUCUGCAAUAUAAAGCUCGUAAAUGUUGUUCCUGUUUAUUGCUCGUAAUUAUUGAUCCUGUUACCAUGCUAUUAGUACCUACGUACUUAUUUAAUGUUUUGGAAUGAACUCAUCUCAUUUGAUUUACGAUAACAUCUGUUAAACAAAUAAAUCGGGGCAAUAAAAAUAAACAGGGUCCUUAAGUAUAUUUCCGCUAACUACGGACUCUUAUAUAACGGCAUUUUCAACAGCCUGUGUUUACGACUAAUUUACAAUUUCUACAUAAAUUUAAUUUGCUAUUUACUUAUUUCAACGAGGCGUAAACACAUUUCUAUAUUGUAAUAAAUUAAUAAUAAUGUUAACGUUUGCGUUAU